rnacentral:rRNA from 1 species
CCUACGGGUGGCAGCAGUGAGGAAUAUUGGUCAAUGGGCGCGAGUCUGAACCAGCCAAGUAGCGUGAAGGAUGACUGCCCUAUGGGUUGUAAACUUCUUUUAUAUGGGAAUAAAGUGAGGCACGUGUGCCUUUUUGUAUGUACUUUAUGAAUAAGGAUCGGCUAACUCCGUGCCAGCAGCCGCGGUAAUACGGAGGAUCCGAGCGUUAUCCGGAUUUAUUGGGUUUAAAGGGAGCGUAGGUGGGUUGUUAAGUCAGUUGUGAAAGUUUGCGGCUCAACCGUAAAAUUGCAGUUGAUACUGGCAGUCUUGAGUACAGUUGAGGUAGGCGGAAUUCGUGGUGUAGCGGUGAAAUGCUUAGAUAUCACGAAGAACUCCGAUUGCGAAGGCAGCUUACUAAACUGCAACUGACACUGAUGCUCGAAAGUGUGGGUAUCAAACAGGAUUAGAUACCCGUGUAGUC